rnacentral:rRNA from 1 species
GGUACCUAACCAUGAAAGCCACGGCUAACUACGUGCCAGCAGCCGCGGUAAUACGUAGGUGGAAGCGUUGUCCGGAAUUAUUGGGCGUAAAGCGCGCGCAGGCGGUUCCUUAAGUCUGAUGUGAAAGCCCCCGGCUCAACCGGGGAGGGUCAUUGGAAACUGGGGAACUUGAGUGCAGAAGAGAAGAGUGGAAUUCCACGUGUAGCGGUGAAAUGCGUAGAGAUGUGGAGGAACACCAGUGGCGAAGGCGACUCUUUGGUCUGUAACUGACGCUGAGGCGCGAAAGCGUGGGGAGCAAACAGGAUUAGAUACCCUGGUAGUCCACGCCGUAUUCGUUGAGUGCUAAGUGUUAGAGGGUUUCCGCCCUUUAGUGCUGCAGCAAACGCAUUAAGCACUCCGCCUGGGGAGUACGGCC